CUUAAACCAUUUUAACACGUUAGUACGGGCGACAGAAAACCUUUUAGCGCAAUAGAUGAAGUACUGCAAAGGAAAAAUGAAAUAGAAAUGAUAAAACCACAAGAACAAAAUAAAGCAGGAACCAAGCCCCGUACCUUUUGCAUAAUGGUCUAGCAAGUCUUAUUUACAAAAAGAAUUUUAGCUACACCCCCGAAACCUGACGAGCUACCUUUAGGCAGCAAUUAGAGCGAACCCGUCCCUGUAGCAAAAGGGUGGGAAGACCUAAAGGUAGAGGCGAAAAACCUAACGAGCCAGGAUAUAGCUGGUUACUUGAGAAUGAAUUUUAGUUCAACUAAGAGCAAAUAGCCACCUUAAGAACAAACUAAUGCUCUUAAUUUAAUUAACUGGGGAACAGCCCAGUUAAAAAGGGAAACAACCCAUAAAAAUAAAUAAAGAUUAUAUUUAUAAGAAGAAUAAAGCCUAGUGGGCCUAAAAGCAGCCACCAAGAAAGCGUCAAAGCUUGACUCCAAUAUAUCUAAUGAUUUAAACAAUAAAUCUUAAGUUAUUUUAAUAAUCAAGUCAAUCUAGUUUUAGAAAAGUUAUUACUAGAAUAAGUAACGAGAACCACCUCUCUAAAUAUUUGUGUACGUCGAAACGAAAUAUUCCUCGACACUUAGCGAACCUAUAUUAAUUUUUCAAGAACUGCCAAUUAAUAAUACCGUUAACCCAACACAGGCAUAUUUAAGAAAGACUUCAAGUUAAGAAAGGAACUCGGCAAAUCUAAGGCUUCGCCUGUUUACCAAAAACAUAGCCUCUUGACCAAUUAAUAUAAGAGGUACUGCCUGCCCAGUGACAUCUGUUCAACGGCCGCGGUAUUAUGACCGUGCAAAGGUAGCGUAAUCACUUGUCUUUUAAAUAAAGACCAGUAUGAAUGGCGAAACGAGAGCCAAACUGUCUCCCUUAGCUAGUCAGUGAAAUUGAUUUUUCCGUGCAGAAGCGGAAAUACUAAUACAAGACGAGAAGACCCUAUGGAGCUUCAAGCAAAAACUAACCCUGCAAACUAAACUAUAAGAAACCCUUAGUUAAACGCUUUAGGUUGGGGCGACCACGGGGAAAAAUUUAACCCCCGAGAUAAAUUAGCUAAGAAAAACACAUCAAAGCAACAAAAACCUUGACAUAUUGACCCAAUAUUUGACCAACGAACCAAGUUACCCUAGGGAUAACAGCGCAAUCUUCUCAUAGAGUCCUUAUCGACGAGAAGGUUUACGACCUCGAUGUUGGAUCAGGGCCCCCAAAUGGUGCAGCAGCUAUUAAAGGUUCGUUUGUUCAACGAUUAAAGCCCUACGUGAUCUGAGUUCAGACCGGAGAAAUCCAGGUCAGUUUCUAUCUGUAAAAAGACUUUUCUAGUACGAAAGGACCGAAAAAACAAGGCCUAUGGGUAAACCCAAGCCUUCCCAAUAACCUCUGAACACAAAUAAGAGGUUAUAGGGGAUAAAUUAAGUCUAUGUACGACUU
rnacentral:rRNA from 1 species